rnacentral:tRNA from 1 species
GCUUUGGUGGUUCAGUGGUAGAUUUCUUGCUUUCCAGGCAGGAGACACAGGUUCAAUUUCUGCUCAAUGCU